UGUCUAGUUCAAGCUUAAUAAUUAACAUAAAAGAAUUCUCUAUCUUUUGACAUGAGUCAUAAAACAAGAUGAACUUGGGAAAUUUACGAAUUUCGGUAUUGAAAACCGCAGACCACCCUCAGUUGUGCUUUGUCCACUGUACUGUAAAUGCUGCUAAUAUACCUCUGUCGCUAGCAGACGCAUGUCUUUGCAUUUGAUUGGUUGAACGGCAUUUCGUUUGCUGAUGGAGAACACCUUUGUUUUAAUUUGUAUUUUGUCAUCGGUUAUGUUAUUUGUUUUGUCUGUUACACUGAACUAUAUUGGGGUCUGUUAUUUGAUUUGAUUUUGUUAGGUAAAGAUGGAAGGCACUGUGACUAUAAAUAAUGGAAGGCUGAUCCUGUGUCACAGAGCCACAUAGAUGAGCAGCUACCCAUCGUAGGAUGCACACUCAACCUCCUGCUAGUUUCUGAGCCAAGUCAGCUUGACAGAGGGGUCUGCUAAUGCACAGCCACCUAGCCACUGCUAACAGAUGCUGGCUGGGGCAGACGCUCAUCAAAGGUGUGCCACACGACAUGGGCAUUCUCGUUCUGCAUCAAGCCUCAAGGUGCCUCAGCCAAACGGCAGUGAGAAAUAAGGGUUGGAAUAAAAGAAGAGGACUGAGGAGAAAAUCCAUUUACCACAAUUUUAUCACUGUGGACCAUCGCGAAUGCGUAGUGUAAUAUACCUAUUAACUUAGUAGCCCAGCACGCUCAAGAGAUCUUGGAAACUGGACCACCCCAGAUCAGUAGAUGCAGACAUGCACGUGCAGACGAAACACCAGCGCCAUGCAUGGGGUCCAAUCUCACCAUGGAAAUGCCAAAGCACACAGCUCAAGCCAUGCUGCCAUCCACAUGACGUGCGGCCAGGUAUCCAUUAUCAGACUAGAUAUGUGAUAUCUGAGUUUUUUUUUUAUAACAUAGCCAUUUGCAAUCUUUUGUGGCGAUGGAACUUUCUUAGCAUAAAAGACCGCCGUUGUGUACCGUGCCUGUGGCCAGCUUAGUCGUUUCCAUUGUAUGCUUUGUGGUUUUUUAGUUCUGAGCAUGUUAUCUUUCAACAGGCUCGUUGCUGUCGGCGGUUCUGAAGACAGCGGUUCGAUCCAGCUGAAGGACGUCACCUGGCAGAAAGUUGUAGAGUGUGGUGGCCAGUAUCAAGCCACAUUGUCCAGAAACCAUCACGUUAUCUCCAGGUCACUAGUCGCCGGUGCUCGAGCUGACGGCGUCGUUCAAGGGCUCCACGGUGACAAGCGCCGUCACCGCUGCCGCCGCCGCCGAGACCAUCCGACUCCUGGGCCCUGUUUCACGGCAGCGUACUGCAGCGCGCUACGCAGCGCUGCUGUGUUAGUGCGGCGAUUGAGACGAAUUCGGCUCGACGCUCCAGCGUUGCGAAACACCCGUGUCUAUGAAGGAUACGCCGAUACGUCUUCCAGCUUCAAGCCCUUCCCGCCCCCCCCCCCCCCCGCCCCGUCCCAACGGUGUUGGCCGAGAUUGGGGUUGGUAUUUUAACGGGCUCUCCGAUGACGUCCCGCAAUUUGUGUUAUGUAAUUUGACGAUUAUGUCGUAGUCUCAUUCUGUCUCGAUAUGCUAAUAAAUGAUAAAUGGGACGGAGGUUGGAAGUAAGGUGUGAGUGGCUGUAACCGGCAGGUUUUGGCGAGCGCGAUAUUAGUUAUUGUGAGCGCGCCAGCUGCAUUAAAUCGCGCGCUUCUGGCGAGAAAAUACUUGCUCUGGAACCUAGAAGUUUGUCGUGAAAUCUAUGUGCCUUUGGAUUGAAUUAUUAGAAUAUAAUGUACUUUCGGUGUCCAGCACUGCAGCUCUGGAAAUAGAAAUAUGGAUGUUGGCUGUUUGAUGUAGCAAGGGCUAACAAUCUGCGUCAAGAAUCAAAAGCUGUAUGCAAAUUAAAGUGAAUAUAUUUCAAUGAAUUUUUAAAUUUUGUGAUACAAAACAUAAAUGUGUCAACUACUGAUUACACCCGGCUGCAAACACUGUAACGCUUGCAAUGCUGUACGGCAAAUAAAUAAUAUAGAUUCUC
rnacentral:lncRNA from 1 species